UCCACGCCGUAAACGAUGUCAACUAGGUGUAGGGGGUGUUGAUCCCCUCUGUGCCGCAGCUAACGCAUUAAGUUGACCGCCUGGGGAGUACGGUCGCAAGAUUAAAACUCAAAGGAAUUGACGGGGGCCCGCACAAGCGGUGGAGUAUGUGGUUUAAUUCGAUGCAACGCGAAGAACCUUACCUGGUCUUGACAUCCCGAGGAUCUCCUGGAAACAGGAGAGUGCUUUCAAAG
rnacentral:rRNA from 1 species